rnacentral:rRNA from 1 species
GAUGAACGCUGGCGGCGUGCUUAACACAUGCAAGUCGAACGGGAUCCAAGGGGUGCUUGCACUUUUUGGUGAGAGUGGCGAACGGGUGUGUAACACGUGAGUAACCUGUCCUUUUCUUUGGGAUCAGCAUUCGAAAGGGUGUUUAAUACCUUAUGUUCUGUCUGCCUCGCAUGGGGUGGGUGGGAAAGGCUUUGGCCGGAUUUGGGUGGGCUCGCGGUCUAUCAGCUUGUUGGUGGGGUGAUGGCUUACCAAGGCUCUGACGGGUAGCCGGCCUGAGAGGGUGGUCGGUCACAGUGGGGCUGAGAUACGGCCCGGACGCCUGCGGGAGGCAGCAGUGGGGGAUAUUGCACAGUGGGCGAAAGCCUGAUGCAGCGACGCCGCGUGGGGGAUGAAGGCCUUCGGGUUGUAAACUUCUUUUGCUCUGAACAAGGCAUGCCAGUGAGUGUGUGGAGUGUAGGGGUGGAUAAGCGCCGGCUAACUACGUG